rnacentral:lncRNA from 1 species
GCGGAGUAAACAAUGGCAGGGGCGGGGCUCGGCGCGGGGGUCCCGAGGCUGGAGCUGGGGAUCCCUGUCCCAGGCCUCUGGGAGAUGGGUCCGGACAAGGGAACUGAGCGGACGCCCGGGCCGCUCCCACGCGUGCACUUCCUGUCGCCGGCUGCCGGAGGAGAUGUCAAACACCUGCCUCGAUCCUGGAAGUUUAGCAGUUUAGCAGAAAUAGAAAUGCCCCUGUGGCAGACUUUGGACUGCAAUCCCUAUCCAAGCCGGCUGCUUAUAGGAGAGCCGCUUUGACUCUUGAGAGUCCAGUUCCCAUCUGCCUUUCACGGGCAUACAGGGGUGAGUCUAGUUCUCAACUCGAUUGUUCUCACACUGGAACCGGAACACAGAAGUCUCCCUUAACCUUCAGCACAUAUCGAUACUGCAGGCCCGAUCUGAACCCCGACGUGGGGAAAAUCAUCAGGGGAGCGUCCCUGCCAGACUCCUGUCAGGGCUAGGAGGCUCGAACCCCGGCCGAAGGAUGCUGGCGGCGGCCGUUGCCGUGCAACACGAUGUUU